GUCGCUGAGCCACGUCCACGCUGCUGGCUCCUAGGAUGCUUCGGCGGCCUCCUAGAGUGCGUCUGGCUUGCACCCUCUGCCGCAGGCCUCUUGGCCUUAUCCUUGUCCAUGGCCUCUCGCCGCUCCUAGACAUCCGCCGCGCCGCUCUCCACUAUGAGCGCGCGAUCCACCACCUUCCAGUAGGUUUGGAGGUUAGAGGAUUGCACGAACCGAAAAAUCGACAGUCGCAACCCUUGCUCGAAAAUGCGGGCCUUGUCCUCGUCGUCCUGCACGACGAAGGGCACGCAGUGUAGAAACCGAGAAAACUCCCGCUCAUACUCGGCUACUGUUCGACCUCCUUGGUGCAAGUUGCGCAGUCCUACUCCAUCUUCCGCUUGACGCUGGUCGAAAAGUAGUGCGUCAAUAGAAGCUCCUUGAACCUCUUCCAAGAUAUAGCCGCCAAAUCAGUGCUGGAGUUCUCCUGGAGAUCCAACCACCAGCGGUAGGCCUCACCGUCCAAAUGGUGUGUGGCGAGCCAAACUCGAUCUCUCUCCUCCACGAAGGUGUUGCGGAAGAGCUUCUCUAUAUGCGUCAACCACUUCUCCACGAUCCAGUGGUCGACCUUCUUGCCGUCGAAGAUUCGGGGACUGCACCUCCUGAACUCGUUGAGGCGCUCCAUCAGUCUGUCCCGCUCCGCUCCCUCGACCAAGGUAGGGAAAGCUGCUCCACCCGGGGGCCUCUGCACAGGUGGUACCGUGAUGGCCUCCUCCUGAGGCGCGGCCGCAGGCACUGCUCGCGAAGAACUGGGCGUGGAGGACGGCGCUCUAGGCGCGAUGUCCACAACCGGUGCUGGCGGUGUAUGGGCCUGAGUGUCCCUGGAAGCUGCCGCGUACUGUAAAAGAAGGUCCUCCAGGCGCUUCAUCCGCGCCUCCUGUCGGCGCGCCACCUCCGUCUGCUGUAGAGCCGCCUCCGCCUGCUGUGUCACCAAGUCGGUGAGAGCUGCAAGCUGGCUCCUCAACUCUCGGACCUCGCCGGAUCCGAAGGUAGCGGAGGUCUCGACCUCCUCAAGAUGUGCCGCAUUAUCCGCUCCGGCAGAUUGGGAGCGAGUGAUCAGCAUCUCACUACAACAUCAUAAAAGCGUAAGUUAGUAACUCACGCUAUCGUAUCCCCGCUCAAACAGAUAAUACCCCAAAUCAUGCGAAAGUAAUGAAGUGUGCUUCACUACUAACUCCCAAUGUUAUGUUGUCGGCCGCCAACGUAACCCUCCGUGAAGUCAAGAGUUAUACACUUCAAUUUAACUCCACUUUCUAGAGUUAUCAAAAUACCCAAUCACGAUACUUUCGCUUACAAGUCAAAUAGAUCUCAUCUCUCACGAGCCUAUUUUCUAUAGUUCAACCGGCCUAAAGUUUGCUAGGUCUACUAAGACUCAACCCUAGGCUCUGAUACCAAACUAAUCUGUCACGCCCCGGGACCCAACGGAAGCCUACCCGGCGCGUGCCCAGACCCGCCGUAUGUCUAAAACAUACAAGGCGUCUAAAACAAAAUGAUAAAUAAGACGAUGAAAGAGAACAUCUAGAAGUAUCAGAGCGAAGUAUAUCUAGAAGCUACAAUAAGGGAAGAGAACAUAAAAGUAAGUGCACUAAGUAAAAACAUAAAGUGAAUACAAUAGGAAUCCCAAUACAAAAGCUAAACAAGUACAUAGGUGGUCUCUCUAUACAUGGUACUCAAAAUUCUCUCUCUCACAAAAACCAAAAAGAAGAGAGUAAACUACCUAAGCUCAAAAGUAGCUUCCCGCUAACUAGCUACGCGACUCCCUUGCCGUGAUCCCGUGCCUCCGCCGGUGCCGAAGGCUCUGAAAUAAAACCAUAAAAUAGGGGGCAUGAGAACUAUUGAAUAAUAGUUCCCAGUGGGCAAUUACUGGCUUCAGUGAAAUGCACCACUAGGCCCAAACUAAAAAGGGGUCAGUAAGCAGAUGUAAACAAAUACGAUAUGUACGACAAGUAAAUAAGCAUGAAUAUUUGCUACCACAUGAUAUCUCUACUUAGCAUGAUUUAGCAUAAGUAAGAAAAGCUAUUCUUGUAUGAAGGUACCCAAGCAUUGCUAGUAUGAUGUCCAUAAGUCAAAUAGUAAAGAUGUCAUUAUUUACUAUUCUAAUCAAUGUACACAUGGCAUGAUGAAUGCUCAAAAUCAAAUCUGAAGAGACCCGCCCGAAGGCUGUCUGGCCCUGAGACCCACCCGUAGGCUGUCUGGCCGGUGCCGAGCCUAAUGGCCCCGUGGUAGUCAACAUCCCCACUCUAGGGAUGAGCCUUUCCUACGGCAAUUCACUUCGGCGCCCAAUCCGGCACGGCGAAUAUGUAUCGCGAUGGCCAUCUCCGGAGUGCCGGCUUGUAGGGAGCAACCCUCACAAGCAUGUACGAAUGAGCACAAUGGCAAGUAACAAAAGAUCUGUCUCAAGUACCAAGUCCUCAUGUCUAACAACAUGGAAUAUGUCACAACUCUCUCAUAGGCCUAUCUCUAUGUCAUCAUGUCUAAAAUAUGAAAAGUAGUAGAUGUCCAUGGCCUAUCUCUAAAUCUCAAUACAAUAGUCUCAUAGUUCGCUAGUUCAAGUGCCCCUUUAUGACAUUUUUUUUUACUAAGUCGAAGCUUAAACCAAAGGUUCAUAAAUGCAUAAUUGAGCCACUUUAAACAUAUAAGGCAUGUUUCCAAACGGCUAGUGCGAACACUACUCUAAUGCAUGUAACAAUACCUAGAAUGCUCUACUAUAUAGAGUGAAAAUUUUCUAAUACAUAAUAUAUGCAUUUUAAGUGUUCUAAAAUUCGCAUAAAUUUCAUUUAGCAUAUAUUUGCAUUUGAAAUGAUGUUACGACGAGUAUAGAAAGCAUGGGGGCCAUUUCGCCCCGUUUUCAUGAAGCCAAACCCACCACAACUCUAGCGCUCCUUCGUUUGCUCCGACGAAGGUGUCUACUAGUCCCAUAGCACUCUAAAGAUGUAGGAACAAGGGUUAAACAAAUCUUACGAUCAACCCUAAGUUCAAUCAAUAAGCAACAUAGGCUAAGGUGGAAAAACUCACCUCAAGUGAAGAAAUCCUCUCUCAAGCUCCAAAUGGGAGUUAGAGUUCUUCAAAUCCAACCUAGAUAAAGGUUCAAAGACAAUCAAUUGGGUCUCCAAGCCCUCAAAUCAAAAAUCUCCGAAAUAAACCCUAAAUCUCAUUUCUAGGGUUUCAUAUGGUAAAACCUAUCAAAACAUGGAUCAAAGGCUAGAAUCAAGGCACUAACCUCUCUAGAUGCUCCAAAACAAGCUCCAAAUCUUCUAGGGUUGAAGAUUGAUCCUCUAUCAAGCUCCUAGCCCAAGCUCCAAGCCUCCAAUGGUGAGCAAAGGGAGAAGAAGAUGCUCCAAAGCCUCAAGAUCUUGCUCUCCUCCAACUCCUUCUCUCAUUCUUUUUCUCUCUCUGGAGUGAGUGUAAGGGAGAGAAAUGAGGGAGUGAGAGAGUGGAAGGACCAUAAAAGCCCUCUCAAGUAACAAUAUCCUAAUAAGCUCUCCAACAAUCCAACCAAUGCAUCAGCCCGGACUGGGCAAAAUUCGCCCAGAGGGACCGGUCUCUCCUUGCUUGGGACCGGUCUCUCAGGUCCAUCCCGCAAAACCAGCGUACGGGAACCGGUCUCCCCAGCCGGGGACCGGUCGCAUUGCCAUGGGGACCGGUCUCCCCGACCAGAGAUCGGUCCCCGAGAGUGAAAACUCUCAGGACUGCCCAGAACUCAGAUUUUUCGAGCUCUUUAAGUCGGAACACCUUCCACGACCUUCCACCAAGUGUGGAAAAGCUCGGAACCCAAGUCAAACACUCGAACCUCCCAAUUUGCAAAGGUCCAGUGUGCUACACUUUGUUUAAUGUAUUUAUGAAAUUUAUAUUUAAGGUCAUUGGGAAUUCACAUAGAUUGAUUUUGAUGUUGAGCAUUUUGUUUAAAUAAAAAAGUUUUGAAAAAAUUUCUUAAAGUAAAGCAGAAAAUUUUUGACCUUUAGUGCUACGAGGACCGGUCCCCCUUCUUGAAGGACCGGUCGCUCCGCCCGACCUCAUAUAGUGAACUUAGGGCAUUCUCUUUCGUACUUUCCCAAACUCUUUUCACAACUCUUCUCCUCCGAACACUUGGUCUCUUUGGUGAUCUUGUCCUCUGACUUUCAUCGAUUUUCCAUUGUUUUCGAUAAGAUUUUCAGAUCUUGAUUAUUUCUUGUUACAAAAUUCGAAAAUGUGGUUCUUUUUGUGAUUUUUGGUUAUUGAUCUAGAAAUCUUGCAUGAAUCUCAUGUUUUUAUUUUGUUUGAUGAUCUAGAAGUGUUUGGGCAUAUCUUAUUUCGAAUUUAUGUGUUUUGGAGCAUUGUUUUGUGUUGAAAUGUGCUGAUACAUGAUUCCAUGUGGCCCUAGAAUUUUCUAGAUACUUUUUCUGAAUUUUCAUGAAAAUUUCGAAAAGAGUGAUAUUUGUAUUGCUUCAAAACUUGCUGUAAACAGGGAUUUCUUUCGAAAAUGUAUUCACUACUACUUGUGCUUGUGUUUCUGAUGGCUGGUGGUGGCCGUGGUAGUAAACGCCAUCGUUCCUCGGCUCAGAAACCUGUUGAGCAACCGGUAGAGGAUGUUGGUAGUGAAUAUGCCCCCGACGAGGAGUCUGAUACCGAGUCAACAGAUUGGGAAGCACUGGCUCCUGAAGUGCUGUCGAAGAAGAAAGGGAAAGAACUGGCAGCUCCUGAAAAGGGAAAAGAACAAGAACAAGGAAAAGGCAAAGGAAAAGGCAAAGGAAAAGGGAAAGAAAAGGAGAAAUUGACGUUCUCUCGUAGUCGGAAAACAACUGGUGGUAUUGAAAUUCAGGAACCUGCUUCAGACCUUCCGCGUCGUAGUGUUCAGGAAGUUCCAAUAGAUCCCUAGCGGCGCUCCAUGUACUGCUCGAAAUUGUGCAUUGGUGAACGUGCAGUUGGAGUUCAAAAUCUAAUUGAGCGUGUGCCGGCGUUUCAAGCUCUCUUUGAAAAUGGCAAUUUGCAUGAGAUUUGCGACUUUUCCGAGCAAACAGGCUAAUAUUUAGAGCUCAUUCAAGAGUUUUAUAUGAGAGCAGGGUUUUUGAGUGAUUCUGAUGGUGGUCCAUAUAUGUUUAAGACAUCAAUCCAUGGUGUGGAGAUGACGAUUACACCAGAUACUGUGGCUUCUGUGCUUGAAAUGGCGGCUAGGACUGAUAGGGUGGAGUAUUUACAUGCUGGAUUUGAUGCACUACGUGAUUGGCAACAAGUAAUGGAUGGUAUUUGCGUGCCCAGUACAGACUCGAAUGGAAUUUGUGUUAUGUCAAAGGAUUUGAAGAUAGAGUAUCAUUUUCUGAAUUUCGUGGUGUGCUACAACAUUCUGCCUUUGGCGAAUACAAAGGUGGUGCGAUGGGAGCGUAUGCUUUACAUGUAUCUGCUGGGCCAGCCGGAUUUGGUUCGUUCCUGGGAUAUUACCCUCAAUGUUCCGUUUCUGAUUUGACGAAGAAUGGCGAAUGAUAUUAAGACUUCAAGUCAAAAUGAGCGGUUACCAUAUCCAUUGAUCAUUAUGCGGAUUCUUCAGCUACAUGAGGUGGACAUCAGAAGCUCUUCCUAUGAGCAUAGCUGUAACAUACCACAUCCCUCGUAAAUCGUGCCGAGUUCCGUUGAAACGAGCGGAACGCGGAGUUGAAUGAGUUAGAGUGGACCCUAAGUGCAUUAGAGUCCAUAAGUGAAGCUAAAAGGGACCCGAGAGAGAAAAUCUGAAAAUCUGGCUAAGUCCCAGAUUUUGUGCUCUCGGGGACCGGUCCCUGAAGGAGAGACCGGUCCCCGUACGCGUAGCCUGCCAGGAAAUCCUAAGGCAUCCGGUCCCUGGUAGUGAGACUGGUCCUCGGGAGACCAGUCCCUAAAGGACAGACUGGUCCCUCGCUGCGCAGCAGCUUAAAAAGCCUGAAAAUCGGCUAAGUCCUGGAAAACCCCCGUUCGGGAACCGGUCCCUGGUCGGGGAGACCGGUCCCCGAAGGCGAAAAAUGCCCAGUCUGGGCUGAUGUCACGUCCCGGGACCCAGCGGAAGCCCGCCCGGCGCGUGCCCAGACCUGCCAUAUGUUUAAAACAUAUAAGGCAUCUAAUAGCAACGAUAAUAAAAGCAGUAAUAAAAGACAUCUAGGAGUAUUAGAGCAUGAUAUAAUACUAAGUUCUACAAUAGAGAAAGGAACACAAAGCUGGAAUCCACUAAUAAAAGCAUAAAGCAAUACAAAGAAAAUCCCAAAUCCAAGUGUUAAAAGUAGAUACAUAGGUGGUCUCUAUACAUGGAUACAAAAACUCUUACUCUCUCAACUAUAUAAAAAAAAAAGUAAACCACCUAGGCAAAGAACCGCUCCUCGCUAACUAACUAUGCGAUCCCCUUGCCGCGAUCCCGUGCCUCCGCCGGUGCAGAAGGCUCUGAAAGAAACCACAAAAAGAGGGCGUGAGAACUAUUGAAAAUAGUUCCCAGUGGGCAAUUACUGACUUCAGUGAAUGCACCACAAGGCCCAAAGCUACAAGGGAAGUGGUCAGUAACAAUGAAAGCAAUAAAGCGACAGGUAAGUAGAAGUGUAACAUACUAUAACCAGAUGUCUCUACUUAGCAUGAUAGGCAUAAGAAUAAGCAACUAUACAUAAUGUACAUGGAUGUGUAUACAUGAAUACUCAUAGGUAUGCAACCAAUACGAUGUCCCCAAUGAAAUUAGUAAAGAUGUCAUUGUUUACUAUUCUAGUCCAAGUCCACUUUAAUAGUUUUAAAGUUCACAUAGUAUGUUCUGUCACUAAGUCCCAAUCAUAUAAGAUCCACCCGAAGGCUGUCUGGCCUGCGCCAUGCCUAAUGGCCCCGUGGUAGUCAACAUCCCCACUCUAGGGAUGAGCCUCCCCCACGGCAAUCCACUUCGGCUCCCAAUCCCGCACGGGCGAGCAUAUGUCGCGAUGGCUAUCUCCGGAGUGCCGGCUUGUAGGGAGCGACCCUCACAAGCAUGUGCGAAUGAGCACAAUGGCAAGCAAGCAAUGAUCUGUCUCAAGUACCAAGUCCUCAUGUCUAAAACAUGGAAUGUGUCAAAUGUCAUCAUGGCCUAUCUCUAUGUCAUCAUGUCUCUAACAUGGAAUAUAGCAGAUGUACAAUGGCCUAUCAUCAUGUCUCGAAGUUGCAGUUCAACCGUUUUCUAGUUCAAGUGCCCCUUUAUGACACUUUUGCUCACUAAGUCAUAGCAUGGCAAUUAUGCUUAAGAUUGCAUGAUUCUAGUCAUUUCCCCACAUAAGAUACAUAUUUGCAAGUUGCAAUAAAGAAUCCGGAACACAUGCACGCAUACUACACAUAAGGCUCUACUACAUAGAGCGAAGUUCUCAUGACACAUAAUGCAUGGGUUAUAAGCGUUCCAAAAUUCAUAUAAAUUCUAUCUAGCAUGAAUAUGCAUUUACUUUUACAAAAAGACAAGUAUUUUACUCAUAGGGGCCAUUUUGCCCGAAAUCAUGAAGCCAAACCCACCGAUUUUUCGAACUCUUC
rnacentral:lncRNA from 1 species